UACGGAGGAUGCAAGCGUUAUCCGGAAUGAUUGGGCGUAAAGCGUCCGCAGGUGGCUAUGUAAGUCUGCUGUCAAAGCGUCUGGCUCAACCAGAUAAAGGCAGUGGAAACUACAUAGCUAGAGUAAGGUAGGGGUAGAGGGAAUUCCUGGUGUAGCGGUGAAAUGCGUAGAGAUCAGGAAGAACACCGGUGGCGAAAGCGAUCUGCUAGGCCGCAACUGACACUCAUGGACGAAAGCUAGGGGAGCGAAUGGG
rnacentral:rRNA from 1 species